CAGUAGCCGCGGUAAUACGGAGGGGGCUAGCGUUGUUCGGAAUUACUGGGCGUAAAGCGCACGUAGGCUGCUUUGUAAGUUAGAGGUGAAAGCCUGGAGCUCAACUCCAGAAUUGCCUUUAAGACUGCAUCGCUUGAACACGGGAGAGGUGAGUGGAAUUCCGAGUGUAGAGGUGAAAUUCGUAGAUAUUCGGAAGAACACCAGUGGCGAAGGCGGCUCACUGGCCCGUUGUUGACGCUGAGGUGCGAAAGCGUGGGGAGCAAACAGGAUUAGAUACCCCCGUAGUCCCUGUCUCUUAUAC
rnacentral:rRNA from 1 species